AGGCGAAAGUGUGGCCAGCGGCCGCGGUAUGCAGAAGGGUGCAAGCGUUAAGCGGAAUUACGGGGCGUGAAGCGUGGGUAGGGGGGUCGUGAAGUCUGCUGUGAAAUCCCCGGGGUGAACCUGGGAAUGGCAGUGGAUACUGGGGAGCUAGAGUGUGAUAGAGGAUGGUGGAAUUCCCGGUGUAGCGGUGAAAUGCGUAGAGAUCGGGAGGAACAUCAGUGGCGAAGGCGGCCAUCUGGAUCAACACUGACGCUGAGGCACGAAAGCGUGGGGAGCAAACAGGAUUAGAUCCGAGUAGUC
rnacentral:rRNA from 1 species